rnacentral:misc_RNA from 1 species
ACUUCGAACGCAGUGACCAAGAUUCCAGUAUUCUUAACGUUUGAGCGUCGAAAAAUGAUCGACGAAAAACGGGAGGAAUUAUAUACACAACGCCUUAAAGAACCCCUAUCAUGGCUUGACUUUCUUUUUGAUCAUAAACUCCUUGAAGAGCAUUUAAAGCAACCAAAUCCUAUACCUUCGGCAUUCGAUUUAAUAAGGGAUUUCCUAUACCAAGCCGAUCUUGUAACAAAAGACAGAGAUGGCAGAAAUAGUCCAAGUCUCCCAGGUAGAGAAAAUAGAAAAGCAAAAGCGCUUAAAAUAUUAGCCCUUAAAACCUCAGCUUUUCUCAAAUGGGACGCAGGGCUCUUAAACAAGAAAUUACCAGUAGCUGUCGUUUACAAAGUAUUGAUGGAAUUACUACAAGUUGCUUCAGGCAAUAUUAUUUCGAAUCCAUUUAAUCAAAGAGAAUUUUCAAAUCAACCCCCUUAUGUAAAUUUUGCUGUAAUUCUUUACCACGUGUGGGCGGUGAGAUAUAUAAUUAAGGAAAGCUUUAUAACGAAGCCAAAUCGUGCACCAAGUUUGCAAUUGCCUGGAUUAAUAGAUACUACCACGGCCUUCUUGGUUUUAAGGGAGGAAGUAUUCAACGCGAUUAAAGAUGGCUUGGAACAAUCAGUAGAGAUUCUAGAAUCGGCUUUAAAACAUAAUAGUAUAGUUACUAUGCCUACUGUGGAAUGUUUACAAAUGUUCACUGAAGACAUUGGCAUGGUCGCACAUGAUUGGACUCUUGGUGAGGAAAUUGCCUGUGAAGAGAUGCACUGUCAAAUAUCCUACGAUCUAGGAAGUUUCUAUUUUUUACAUCAACAAUGUGAUAAGGCCUUUCAAUGUUUUACUCAAUGCACAUCAUUAUUGAAAAAACUCCAUAAAAAAUCUUUUCUAUCAAUAAAUGAGAAAAAAUUAGCAGGCUAUAUGUUUGCAUUGGAAUAUAUUUGUUGUAAGCGAGUAUCAGAUGAGACAUUUGGCUUAACAGUUCAACAAUGUAAAUCAAAUAAUUUUCAUGGCUUAAUUUCAAAUUUGAUGGAAGACAAUAGAACUCAUCAAUUAUCAAUAUCGGAAAGACUAAGCAUUGAGCUAGACGUAAAAUAUUCGGAAAAAAGUCAAUUAGAUGCAGAAAAUAUAUAUGAAGAUGUUAUUGCGUGCAACAUGAUUCGCCUGUCGCAAGAAAAAAUAUUAUUGCCUCAUCAUUACCUCGAUAUGAUGCAAAAUAACUCAACUUUUCUCUCCUCUUUCUUCAAAUUUAUGGAAGAUAUUCUAUCAGAGAGUACAAUUAGGGGGCUAGAAGGAAUAAAGAGUUUAAUCAAAUACCUGUGCCGACAUGUUGAAAAUAAACAAGACAUUCAAGAUAAAUUGAAAGGAAAUAAAACAGUUUUAAAACAUUUUAAUGAAGAAGAGAAACAAUGUCUUUUUGAGAAACAAAUACCUAUUGAUUGGAAAAAAAUUGAAAACGAAAGAACCAUUGAUAUAAGAAAUAACUGCGAUACAGCGAAACUGGAACAACUACUCUUAAGCAACAAUGAUGCUAAUACUAUAAAGGAAUUAGUCAGCGUCCUUCUGAAGGCUAUAGGAAGAAGUAAAUUAAUUCAUCUAACAGAUAAGUUUUGGUUACCUAGCAACCAACACAGAAUAGUCGAAAACGUAAAAGAUGGAGAAAAAUUAGUUGCUCAGAUUUAUAUGGCCAAAUCUCGGAUUGCGUUUCAUUUGAAACUUUACGAUUGUGCAAGAAAAUUAAAGAUGGACGUUGCAUCAAUGAUAUCUGCUCAAUUGCACAAAAGACUAGACAGGGUUUUGAAGGGUGACAUGCAACUUAUAAAUCUUCUGCAAUACGAAGCUUUUGAGACUCUUCCUCCCAAAGGGCAAACUAUUGUCGUCCUUUUAACAUGGUCAAGAUCUACUUUGAACAGUCUUGUUGGAAUGCCACCGGAUACCCCUGAUAAACCCCCUGUUGAAGUUAUAGAAGCUUGUGUUAUGCUAUUAAUCAACAGAAGUGAUUGGCAAGUUCUGUGUCAAUUAAAAACUAAUUCACCAGUUGUUGAAUUUGCUAGAUAUAUUGCUGAAUUCUGCAAUCAACUACUAAUAAACAAUCCGCAAAGUAGUCGUCAUGCUGCAAGGGAACUGUUUGAUCAAAUUAUUUUAAUUUUUACAAGAAGCCCUAAUCCAAAGAGACCAACUGGAAUGUGUGAAUCUCUUGGUUUGUUAAGCCAACAAGGUUAUAAGGAAUUUGUAAGUCGUCUACGAGAAGAACAAGUCAUUAGCAUAUUGGUUUCAUCAAUAACCAAACUAUAUUCACAUCUAAAGAAUGAAAUUACGACAGAAGUGCGAAGUGAACAUGAAUCGUGGUUGCCAAGUGCUUUGGGAAGCUCAACGAACAUUUGUCACGAAGCCGUUCAAGAAGCCGUUUAUGCCACAUUCGAGAGAGCCUUUAAAAUAGAUCCAAAUCAUCCGGAGUGGCUUCGAACCUAUGGCGAUCUUUGUUUAGGUAAUUGAAAAGCCGUUGCAAUUUUCGUUUCUUUAGUUUAAUAUAACUAAUUGCUUUUUUCAAUUUACGAUAAUAGAUAAAAAAUAUUUUUUCCUUUUAUACAAAAAACGUUUCCAUUUAUUGCUAUGAAAGUGAAAAAUAAUUAUAGGGUAAUCAGAGUAGCCUAACGCAACAAAAAUAUCCAAUUAGUUUCUUAUGUCAAACUUAAAUGGACACGGGAUAGUUACAUACUAAGUAACUAAUUGCUGACUGUUCUUUGUAGCACAAAAUCAUUGGACGGAAGCCUUUAGAAAUUAUCUCCUACUUGGUAUCAGUACUUCUCGAGGAUUUAAUGACAUACCACCUAGAAAAUACUACGACGAUGAGACUUAUAGGAGGAUGAUAAAAUGCUGUACAUAUAUGAAGUGUUUCACCCAAGUUACCAUCCUUUCUCAAAUGUUGGAUUCAGUGGAUUAUUCGACGGCAUUGAAAGCCAUACAAGAGCGCCAGUCUUAUGACGCCCAAGACGCAUUAUACAAGUUCAUAUGGGAUACAACAAUACUUGAGUAUAUUAUCUAUACCCAUGAUAAAAGAUUUGAAAGUUCAAGAAAGAAACUAAGCAUGAAAUGUUGCGGUAUAUCUGAAUUGAACAGCUCCAAUCCACAAGAAAUUUUAAGAGACGCGUCAAAGCAGAGACAAAUGCAAUUUUUUCAGGCAAUUGUUAGACGUUACUUUUGAUAUACAUUUUUUUUUUAUUAAAACAAACACAAACAAAAAUUAUUCUACAUAAAAAAUUGACAUUUUUUUUUCUUGGUUAAAUAAAUGUUC